GUUUGAGGCAGAAGAACAAUAUGAUCUGACAGUUUUUAAUAGGAUUGCUCUGGCAGCUGUUUUGAGAAGAAGGUGAAGGUAGGGCAGGAGCAGAAGGAGGGAAAGCAGAUUGGAAAUUUCUGCAAUAAUUCAGGCUCCUGCCAGUGCCUCCCAUUGCCAAGAUCCAUCCAUAAUCCAGUAAAGACGGAACCCAGCAAACAUUCCCAUAUGUGUGACAGAGGGGAGAAGAAAAGGACUGGGGAGUGAAUCUGAACACAAACAGGCCUCUGACUGACUCACAGAGUUUCUAGUGUAGGUAAUAAUCUCUUAAUUAAUAACUACUUGUUUGUUUACUUCAUUUCUCAUUUCUCUGAGGAUUAGAGGUAGACUCAAUACCUUUUUUUUCUAUUUUCACAUGGGCAUUACAGAGACAUAGCUUAAAAUCAUAAGAGGAAAAAACAAAUGCAGUCAUGCAUAGAUAAAGCACAAGUACUUUGAAAGACAUCCUUGCUUGCACAGAAAAGUAUCUGUAUGUGUUAGGUUUAAUUUGUACAGUUACUUAAAUUUGAAAAUGUAUCUUUAGCUCUUUAAUCCUCUGGCCGCUUCUAUACAGAGAUUGUGUUUUGAAUGUUUCCUUU
rnacentral:lncRNA from 1 species